UUCACGGAGAGUUUGAUCCUGGCUCAGGACGAACGCUGGCGGCGCGCUUAACACAUGCAAGUCGAGCGAGAACCGGGACUUCGGUCCUGGGGACAGCGGCGAACGGGUGAGUAACACGUGGGUAAUCAACCCUCGGCACCGGGAUAGCCCGAGGAAACUCGGAUUAAUACCGGAUGGCCCCUCCGACUCUCGAGUCGGUCGGGAAAGGUAGCUUA
rnacentral:rRNA from 1 species